rnacentral:rRNA from 1 species
AUACGGGGGAUUCAAGCGUUAUCCGGACUUAUUGGGUUUAAAGGGUGCGCAGGCGGGAGAUUAAGUCGGCGGUGAAAUUUUGCAGCUCAACUGUAAAAGUGCCUUCGAAACUGGUUUCCUUGGGUGUAGAUGAAGUAGGCGGAAUUUGUGGUGUAGCGGGGAAAUGCAUAGAUAUCACGAGGAACUCCGAUUGCGCAGGCAGCUUACUAAACUACUACUGACGCUCAGGCACGAAGGCGUGGGGAUCAAACAGGAUUAGAUACCCUGGUAGUCCACGCAGUAAACGAUGAUUACUAGCUGUUUGCGAUGCAAUGUAAGCGGCUGAGCGAAAGCGUUAAGUAAUCCACCUGGGGAGUACGUUCGCAAGAAUGAAACUCAAAGGAAUUGACGGGG